UUUGGGCUCAUCACCCAGAGAGGUCUUGGC
rnacentral:piRNA from 1 species